rnacentral:rRNA from 1 species
UACGUAGGGUGCAAGCGUUGUCCGGAAUUAUUGGGCGUAAAGAGCUCGUAGGCGGUCUGUCGCGUCUGCUGUGAAAACUCAGGGCUUAACCCUGAGCUUGCAGUGGGUACGGGCAGACUAGAGUGCGGUAGGGGAGACUGGAAUUCCGUGGUGAUAGCGGUGAAAUGCGCAGAUAGUCAGGAGGGAACACCGGUGGCGAAGGCGGGUCUCUGGGCCGUAACUGACGCCGUG